CCCCCGCCGCACGCCCCCGAUGCCGCGCCGCCCGCCGGCCCCGCCGCGCCCCCCAGCGAAGAGUCUAAAGCAAGAGCACAAGAUGGGCUUGGCCAUGGCCAUGUGAGGGAGAUUUGUAGGGCGCAUGGAGAGUUGAUGCUUCGUUCCCCAUGGAGCUCUGAUAUGACUUGUUGGAUCUUUGCACCAAUGGACCAAAAGAAAAGCUUGACUCAACGGUGAUCAGUCAGCCAGCUAUAUAUGUUACCAGCCUUGCAGCAGUAGAGGUACUACGUGCACGCGAUGGAGGCGAAGAUGUGAUCAACUCUGUUGAUGUUACAUGUGGUCUCAGCUUGGGAGAAUACACUGCACUUGCAUUUGCUGGUGCCUUUAGCUUUGAGGAUGGACUGAAGCUUGUCAAGCUAAGAGGAGAAGCUAUGCAGGAUGCUUCAGAUGCUGCCAAUAGUGCGACGGUUAGUGUGAUUGGUCUAGAUUCAGAAAAGGUGCAAGAGCUAUGUGAUGCUGCUAAUGAGGAAGUAGAUGAAAAGGAAAGAGUUCAGAUAGCAAACUUUUGGCUGAUAUCUUUGCUGCUUGAUCAUGUAUUCCUCGUUUUACACUGAAACAAAAUAAAACCGAUCUGAAGCAGUACUCUGUUUUAGGGAAAAGGAAACUGUCGAGGAAGUAUUUGCAUGUUUGACUAGGGGCCUUGUCGGUGACCAAAAUUUCUUCGCCACAGCCCAUCUUUGACAAGGUUAACUAGUUGUUCAUUGUUCUA